UAUCACUUCUUGGCUUUACAU
rnacentral:piRNA from 1 species